ACCCUAUGACUGUUCCUUGAUUGUCUCUGAAGACGUUCCAGCCACUGAUCAUAAUUUCGUGCUCCUUCAGUUUUCAAAAUGUCCUUCCUUAUUUGAAUUUCGUCCACUCUUCGUUAAUUUUCUUUCUUUCGUUCUUUAUAUUUCUCCCAAGUAAAGGUUAGCUACGUAGUUCUCAGAAUCGCAUAGUCUCGCCUGUAGAACAACCUAAUUUAAAUAAUGAGCAGACCCUAAACUCCAACUAUUCAGUGAUUAAUUUGAAAGAAAAUCUACCUCUAAAGUUUGCGCUGAUAAUGUUUAUAUUGUUUAAGAAACGCAAUGAUUGGAAUAUACAAAGCCGUCGGUCAACCUGCCAAGGAAUUGAAUAAUAAUAUGCUAAAAUAUACGCAGAUCCUCUAACAUCAACAUUUCACAUCCUCCAUGGCACAGCAUACUGAAAUCAAUGCAAAGAAAUGAUUUACAUUUGUUUCCACUUGCGUCCAAUAACUUACGGUGAUAAACUGUUUACAUAAAUGUUUAGCACAAAUAGCACGUUUAUAACCAGGGCCGAUUUAAGGGGUAUCGAACAGUGUAUUUGCCCAGGGGCCUCCAAAAACCCAAAUAUUUUUUUGCGGAAAAAUGCGUCCAGACAAUUAUCGCCAGAAACCGAUCACGUGGUACUUAUAUAUAUUUAAUUAUAGUUUAUUUAACAUAAUUGCAAUUUAACCUAAUUUAUUGUCACUGAUUGGGAGCCUCCAUAUUUUGAGUGUCUCGGGGUCCCCCACAACAGAAAAUCUGGCAUAGUUAAUAACCUUGUAUGCCCGUGGUAGGCUGUGGUACUCUGUUUUAUCUCUUUUAGUAUGUAAUGACUGUAGGUAGUACAGAGAUGUAUAUCGGAUUAAUUUAUCCCCACACCUGUUUGAUAGUAGGUAUGUUUCAUCCACCUUCAUAACGAGUGUAAUAUAAAUCUAAAUAAUAUAUGUUCCGUGUAAAACCAGACCCGUUAUCGAGAUGUGUUAAAAAUUGCGGAAAAUAUAAUGCAAGAUAUUCAAAUAUUUAUGAAAACUGCUUUAAGCUACGAGGCUAACUGCGAAAGCAGAAAAUUUUAAGAACAAAAUUAUCCUUUAAGGGCUUUGGUUUAUUAGAUUUCUGACAAACUAUUUAGAAAUUUAUUUCCAAGGUGUUAAAGUCAGAUAGCGCAUGUCUUAACCUGGUAUGUCAUCUACUACAGGUAAUGGUCAUUUGAUUCUUGCUCACUGCUAAUUUUCAUACCAAUGUCCUCUUCAGAUGAGGCUUAAUGUCAAUCUUAAUACAAUAACCAGUAUUAAGAGUAACUGUAUACGUGCCUGUAAUUUACCGAAGCUUAAAUUCUGAUUCAUGUUGUAUUAUGUAUUCAAUACAAUAAGUAAGCAAGAACAACUAUUAAUUACCUAAUUAUUGCGAAAUUCCAGCGAUGUAGACAGGUAGCGUUUGUGAAAGAAUACAACCGAUAUUUUUUCCAUGACACGAACAAUGAAUUAGAUUUAUUAAUUGUAAGCGAUUCUCCGUCUAAUUGUACUGAUUCCGAUCUUGAAUAUUCUAGAAUUUAAUUUAUACUCAGUCGUCGUGCUGUUGGCUAUCGCUCGAUUGUUUUGGAAAGAGAACUGCACCAGAACAAGAUUCCUAAGAGUUAUCCUAUAUAUUCUACAGUUUAAUGGACAACUACUAUAACUCCGAUUCAAGCCAGUCACAAAUGUCACAAUUUAAGUACGAUGCAACUACACAGUCGGCUUUAGCAUAAUAUUCUUUUCUAAGAUAUAUCUUGCUGCUGUAGAAAUGUUGACAUGUUUUUUUGUCCUAGACGGAGACAUCUUAAUGCAUAUUUACGUUCAUCCAUGUGGCAGUAUGUAAAUUGGCUUUAUAUUUGUCCUUAUUAUCAGCUACGACUCUAGAUCGCUCUCCGACUUAAUAAUGACUUACAUUUCCGGCUUAAUAUGUGGUCUCAAAAUUAAAACGGACUGAUUUUAUAAAAUGAAGAUAUUACCACUAAAAUGCAUUUUAUUGCAGAAUUUGGUGUUUUGUUUCUGGUUCAUACUGGAAGACAGAAUUCUCACUUUCUUGCUUUCGAAGUAGGCUCGAAAGUUGCAUCAUAUGCGACAUGUUCUUUUCGGUCUAAUUAUUUUUUUACCAUCAUUUUUAUAAUUUGCUUCAUAGAACAGAGAAAUCUAGUGCUCCAAUUCUGUGUUCACAGGAGUCCAUAACUGAACCUUUAAGUACAAAAUUUUACAUUCUGUAUUUCAAAAUUCAUUCUAAUAUCAGGUCCUCCCAUUUAGACCUUGGUCUUCCAAGUGGUCCAUUACCUUCAGUCUCAACUGAAACAAUUUCUGUGUCGUGUCCUGUUACAGUAGCAUGCAUCCACAGUUAUCACUACUAUUAAUUCGGACACUGACACCGUUAUCGGCGUGUAUCUGUAGAAGCCUAAAUAAUGUUUUCUGGUCGGUCUUACAACUGUACAUUUAAACCCUUGUAUGUCACACAAUAGAAUGCUUGCAGCUAAUUUGGAGAAAAACAUUAAAAAUUGUGAUAAUUUAAAGUGUAUUAGAGGAGCAUAAAAUAAAAAUACUGAACUGAAUGUUAGCAAGGAUUCCCCAAUAUUAAUUUCUAUGUGGAUGAAAUUUUGAGUUGCUACUGUAGUUUAACUUUUCUUAACUUUACCACCAUUCUGAACAGGAAAUGUAUUAGACUAAUAUUUACCUAUGCAGCAGGAACCAUAAUACAUUUAUUGCACAUUUUUUAAUUUGACUGAUAUUUCUCUGCAAUAAAAGUAAUAUUUUUCUAGCCAGGUUUUGACAAACAAAACACUGAAUCAGUGAAAUACACUCUACAACCACAAAUCACACUGAAUCUUAAGCAAGUUUUGGCACAGAACUUCCGAAUUAAGCAGUGACGUGUUCCAAAUCAUCAGAGCUGCCAGUUGCUGCUAGUCCGUAAUUUAAUUGAAAGUCAUUUAUUUAUUGCGUGAAACAUUAAAUACUGAAUUUAUACUUCUAUUAACAGGAAUUAAACACGCAUAUACGAAUCUUAAACCACUUGUUUUACAUUCUCGCAGGUCUUCAGGGAUAAGGAUGAAUUUACAGCAACACCGAAUGAAGACUCUUUUUGUUUUGACAACAGCAUCGCGUGGUAAUUGUGCUACACGGGUCACGUCCCAUGACAAGUACCGUGGCUAACAGUUUACACGCCAAAGAAACCCCCCAGUUACCCGCAUGAUGGAAGUUAGAAGACGCCAAUGUCAGAAAAUAAGGCCUAUUGGUGCAGUGUACUACAGCAGCAAACCAUAACAUAUAGAGAAACCAAAUAAAUGCCGGCUGCUCCUACUUACCGGCUAGCAGCUCACAUCAUCUGCGGGAGCGACUCCUCGUCCACCGAAGAAUCGACGUACUGAGAUCACGGCACCAACUGCCGCCAUUUCGGCCUGUGUCGUAAUAUCAGCCCUAAUAGACAACAUUGUUGUUGGAGUCCUUUUUUAUGGUCAUCUGGAUUCGAAUGGCUAAUACGAACACAAGCAAUAGCACAUUAAUUUCCAGUUUCUGAAUCUGACAGUUUCAAUAAAUACCUUAUGUAAAAUUCGCUGAAAAUAAUCGCAUAUUAAAAAUAUUCGCAUGGAAUUAACCCAUACAACGGAUUCUCAGCAAUUCAGCAUUAUCGGAAUAAAUAUUAAAUACACUGCCCGAAGAAUAAGACUUAAAUUAGAAGAAUGUAAUUUUGACAACUCCACACGAACCCUGACGCACGAGUUCAAGGUAACUGGAAUGUCUCUAAUCCAAUGGCCGGACCAACUGUCCCUCGAUUGAAGCACAACAGAAGAUGCACAAAUGUGACAGCCUUCUAUCACGGAAAUAUCUUCUAUUGAGAACAUCGUGAAGAUCAAAUGGGAGAACAAGGAGGACUAUAAGGUAUUCAUCAUCGUUGUUUCAUGACCUCCUCGAGUCACAUAUAGAAAGAGAUAACCCAUACAGAUCUUUUGGUACGCAAGGUUGAACGGAGCAGUACUACAUGUUAUUGAAGUCACGCACUUUUGCGGAAUGCCAAGUAUUAAAUUAUCGCCAACAUGGGAGGUCUCCGGUAGACUAGCUGUAACGGCCAUCUACUGUUGCAAUAAUUCGUUGUCCAGAACUGAUAUAAUAGGCCAAAGACACCUAGGCAUUGAAGACAAUUUUCUUAUUGAAAUAGGUCUACGUACACGUUCAUAAUGACCUGUGUUCUAAUUAUGUCACCGCUUUAAAACUAACUUCAACUCCGUGGAACAAAGUCUGAGGAUAAAAGUCGAUGGAACCAGAAAAUUCAUUACCGUACUCAUAAAAGCCACAUUAAUCCAAUGCACUAUGCACCACCGUAUUCCCUUAAGAUACAUUUUAAUAUUAUCCUCCCAAACGCGCUUGAUCUUCUAUGUGGCGUGUUUCCUUCAGGACAUUUAAACAAAACAUUGAGUAAUUUUUUAUCUUCCUCGUCCGUGCUACAUGCUCUGACCAGCUUUUUAACUCUAAAACACCCUUUUCUCUUGAUACGAAAUUCCAAAUAUUACACUCAUACAAAAGAAUAGGUUUGCCUAGCAUAUUAUAUUCUUUCCAUUUUGAAACAGCAAAUUGUAAGACAAAAUAUUCUGAACUCCACGGCAGCAAGCAUACCGCUAGAAUUUAAUUUCUUCGUCCUUUAAACCCUUCCUCUCUUCAGUUAUUUAGAAAUAUCAUUCGGAAAAUUCCUAAUUACGAAAUCAAUUUUAAAUUUCUCGCAUGGAAACCACCUGAGUUUUUGAGCCUCCAGUCCUGAAAAGCGUAUACUGUUAUGCCAAUGUUCACGUAAUUAAGAAUUUGGAUUCUGCAAAACGUUAAAAAUUGUACUUUCCGUUCCGUAAAUCUUCGGACAGUUUGCAUACUACAGAGUGGGUGGGAAGUAAGUAGGCAUUGAGAAAUGGUUAUAACCUCUAUAUUUCCAAUGCAAAGCGAUUAUUUAAUGCCUACUUACUUCCCACCCAUCCUGUAGAAUAAGCAUGGAAAAAUGGUCUUCAAAAAAGUUAUAAAAAUAUGAAUAAUGUAUAAGAAAUAGAGUGGAGAUCAAUAAA